UACGUAGGGGGCAAGCGUUAUCCGGAUUUACUGGGUGUAAAGGGAGCGUAGGCGGUAAUGCAAGUCAGAAGUGAAAGCCCGGGGCUCAACUCCGGGACUGCUUUUGAAACUGUGUUGCUAGAUUGCAGGAGAGGUAAGUGGAAUUCCUAGUGUAGCGGUGAAAUGCGUAGAUAUUAGGAAGAACACCAGUGGCGAAGGCGGCUUACUGGACUGUAAAUGACGCUGAGGCUCGAAAGCGUGGGGAGCAAACAGG
rnacentral:rRNA from 1 species